GAGUUUUUAAAUCCAGCAAUUUCUGCGCUGCUUUCUGCCAACAUUGUUCUAAACCCAACCUUGGUUUUGUGUCCUGCAGCCCGAAGCCCUGUCCUGCUGAAGAUCCUGGGAUGCCCACGACACCAGGCUGCAUGUGGGUUCACCCUCCCUGCUGCUCAUUUUCUGGCUGACAAAUUGUCUCUGGCCCUGGUGAGAGUUCAUGGGAACAUUGUGCUCAGAUUGUCUCACAAUUACAUGAAUCAGGAGUGGGGGGGUAUAUGGAAAACCCCACCCUCCAAAAGCCACAAGGAGCUGCCAGCAGGACCUUGUCUGAGGGACCCUCAGCAGAAGGGCUGAUCCCACCUCAUCCUCAUCCUCCUCUCCCUUCUCUGCUGGCCUGGAGCAUGAUGUGGAUCCUGAUUGACACCGGUGCCUGUCCAGGCUGACCAGAGCUGCUGACCAGCACCAGACCUCAGCAUGGGGACACAGCAACACUGCAGGCACACACAGGGUGCAGAGGACACCAGGACAUGCCCACCCUGCCCACUGCACUGUGGGCACUCACUGGGGAAACAAACCCUUUUCACCCACAAUUCCUGGCUCUGAGGCCCCAUGGCUCCAAAGCAGCAUUCCUGGGACAUUCCUGGUGCCAUGGUAUGUGCAGAAUUUCCAACAGAGGCUCAUGGCUCCACAUCUCCAUGUGCUCUGCCUGCUGGACUCUGUUAUUUGGGAGAAGGUCCAGGAUGGAGCAGGAGAUUCAUGAUUGCCGUUGGACACCUGACUGUGCUUUUCCACCCAUCCACAGAUGUCACCUGGAUGUGUCCAUGAACCAGCUCACUCUUGGACCUUCAAAGCUGCCUCAGCAAGGUCCAAAGGGCCCUGUUCCAGCCACACCCCUGUCAGCUCCCUUUCCUUUCCAAGGAUUAGGAUGAGGCAAAUAACUCCAGUCUGCUUUAAUCCUCAAUACCUGAUUCUGCAGGAGCCACACACAGCACACACACAUCUCAGUAAUAGCCAGCUGCUUGUACCAACUGCUUCUACUCCCUGCUCUUGCCGAUAAAACCUUGCAAAGGAGAUUUUAGGAAGGCAUGACCUGAGUUGAGGUCCAGGAUUUUCUUUGUGUGUGGCUGUUUUGUGAAUUCCUAAUUUGCCAGAGAUGAUGAUCAUGAUGAUAACGAGAAUAAAAAAAUAACACAGACAUGAGUUUUAAACGUCCACCUAUGUUUAGGUCAAAUAAUUGUGGUUUGGGGUUUUGUUUAUUGUCUUCUCAGCACACCUCUUAGCUCUGGAUCAUGAUUUUUAGCACCUGAAAAUGUAAUUUUGGCUUCCUGUCUGCAGGUUGGGCUCACUGAAUAAUGCUGCUCUUGUAAGAGCACACCCCUAAAACCAGGUCUGCUGGAAUCUCAAGGGCUCCACUGAAAUUAGGGCUGGACCUGUGCAGAGUGUCUUUGGAUAUUUCAGGGGUUGGACCUGAUUUAGAGCUAAACCCAGGAACUUGGGAAGCUCUGUCUGAAAUUAAACAGAUUGUGGCUGCCCCAACC